UCAAAACCCUUCUUCCUGCCUUGACUUCUUCUACUUUAGGUGUCCAGUGGCUUCUUGGAGAAGCCAGUUCCUUGCGUCUCCAACUCCAAGUCCAAGGUCUCUCUCUCCCCGUCACAUUCCCGAGUAUUUUCCCUUGAUGGGGCCAAACACGACCAAUUUCUCUACCCCGCCGUCGUCUCCGCUGGAAGAUCUAAAGUUCUUACCCGAUGCCGAGAAGCUUGCACCAGCAGCUCUUACCCUCUUGCUCUGAUUCUUCUUCCUCCUCGUCCUCCUCGUCCUCGUCGACCACCUUGAAGCUCCUCUUCUGAUCUUUGAGGAGGUACCCAAAACUCUGCUUCCCGUGGCUGAGGUGAGAAGAGCCGAAGAUGAAGAAUAGUAGGAAGAAACUAGGGUUUUCGAUUCAAUUCUGCAAUUUCUGCCCGUUUUCGAUUUCGGGUCGGGAAUUCGAUUCGGAUUCCUUUAAAAUUUCUGAACCCAUGCAACCGUCCGGUUCGAAUGGGUUCGAUGGGUUUAUCUAAAAAUCAGUCAAUUUUUUGA